ensembl:lncRNA
CCGCCGUGUUGGAGGUGCGAAAUGGCUAGAGCCAGCCCUGAGUCCCUAGACAGUUUGUUCCAUUCUCCUAGUAUUCUUACAGUUAGGAAAUUUUUCUGAGAUUUUAUCUAAAUCUGCUGUACUGUAGUUUGAACCCAUUGCUUCUCUCUUGCUACAGAGACCAGGACAAGAACAACUUUUCUCUAUCUUUUUUAUGGCAGUCUUUCAAGUAUUUGAAGACCGCUAUCAUGUCCCUCCUUAAUCUCCUGUCUUCCAAACUAAACGUAUCCAGUUCCUUCAGCCUUUGCUUAUCUGGCUUGUGAUUCAGCCCUUUGAUCUUCUUUGUCACUCGGCUCUGGAUUCUUUCCAGUUUUUCUACAUCCUUUCUGUACAUUGGUGACCACAAUUGGACACAGUUCUCCAGCUAAGGCCUAACCAGCGCUGAGUAGAGCGGUACUAUACCUCCUGUGACUUGCAUGCUGUGCCUCUCUUAAUGCAACCCAGAAUUGAAUUUGCUUUUUUUACAACAGCGUCACAUUGAUGACUCAUGUUGAGGCUGUGAUCCACCACAACUCCCAGAUCCUUUUCAGCAGUGUUGCUGCCAAGCCAGUUUCCCCUGAUUCUGUAUUUGAGCAUUUGGGUUUUCUUCCUUAAGUGUAGCACCUUACAUUUGUCUUUGUUGAAUUUCAUUUUGUUGUCUAGCCCAGUUCUCCAGUUUAUCAAGAUCUCUUCGAAUUUGAACUCUAUCCUCCAAAGUGUUUGUAACCUCCCCCCAGCUUUGUGUCAUCUGCAGAAGUGAUCAGUCUGCUCUGUUUCUACAUCCAGGUAAUUAAUAAAGAUGUUAAAUAACAGCAGACACAGAACAGAUCCUUGUGGAACCCUAAUGUGUUAUUUUUCUGGCAGCGAAGUGCCCAUCAUCAGCUAUCCAGGGACAGUGUCACCAGUGCUAUGGGAAUUGGAGAGUUCUGAGGGAAUACUGCCUCAAAAAUGCUCUUACUUCAUACAAAAUAUAACUCAAAUGUUGUUUGCAAAAGAGCUGUCUUGAUGGGAAUUGUGGACAGAAGGUUUCUUUCCCCAGAAAUUGCAAAAAGUGAAGCAUCUCCUUUGUCAAGCAGAUUUCUUUGCUGCCCAGAUACUGAUGUGGUCUGCAUCUCUUGUUUCCAAGCUUUCCAAACUACUGAAUACUCAUCUCCUACCGUUUGGAUCUGGGAGCCAUGCCUGGACUCCUGAAGCUCCACUCUCCGAGGACAGUGGGAAGCUCAGCCCAGCUUUCAAGUGUCACUGUGGCUGACUGCAGGGAGGGAGGAGUUGCCAGCUAGUCCAGCAAGGCUGCGGGAGCACUUGCAGGGGCUGCCAGGAUGCAAUCCGAGGCUUAGAGCUCCAGCGCCGCUUUCCUUUGUGUCCACCCCGGGGAGGGGAAGUGCAAACAGACCGCUUCCUCUUGGAGGGCUUUCAGGCGGCUCCAAGGGAAACAGGUUAACUUGCAGAGCACCAGGGGAUGUGGAGUGAGGGAUUCUCCCUCUGACAAUGAGGAUCCAUGUUCUCAAAGUUCACCGAGCACCUGGAAGUGGCAAAGACUGGAGACCACAUGGAAGAAACGAAUGCAGAAGGGAUUUCUCUCUGCAACGGCUGUAACAGGAUUGUGCAGUGCUGUGGAUAUGGUGACACAGAGGGGUGUGUGGAUCUGCCUUUUCCUCCCUUUUCUUCUGCUUGAUAUUUGAUCUCGGUCCUUCGGGGGCUGCUGGUUUAUGGUGGUAAUAGGCACUGAAUAUUCACUGGUGUUUAUCUCUUCCGCUGGGCAGCUUUGAAUGAUCUCUGUGGGGAGGACACAGCAGCCAUAGACAGCUUUCUGGAACAACCUGUUGGUUCCCGGUGCUGGGAGGAGCUGCUUGGAAUGAGGGCAGCUGCAGCUAAGUCAUCAGUACAUUUUCCCCUUGUUUACCCCCCCACGGCCCUUGCUUCAUGAACACAGGAGGCAAAAGGAAGGACGUUAGCCAAGUAAUUAGCCUCCAAGCAUGGACUUGGUGACAGACAAAAUAACUUUGUAAUAAUUCCCACCGUGAGUGUGCCUGAGAAUCCGUCUAGCCUUCCUCUGUCCUAUGAAUUGCUGGGGUGUAAAGGCUCCAGUGAAGUGGCACCCCACUAACUUAAUACAGGACUGAAUAGCAGUGCUGCUCUGCGGGAGAGACACAGAUUUUCCAGCUUAACCUCCCAAGCCUUCUGUCUGCUC